rnacentral:rRNA from 1 species
UCGGGAAUUUUGGGCAAUGGGCGAAAGCCUGACCCAGCAACGCCGCGUGAAGGAUGAAGUAUUUCGGUAUGUAAACUUCGUAAGAAUAGGAAGAAUAAAUGACGGUACUAUUUGUAAGGUCCGGCUAACUACGUGCCAGCAGCCGCGGUAAUACGUAGGGACCAAGCGUUGUUCGGAUUUACUGGGCGUAAAGGGCGCGUAGGCGGUGUGUCAAGUCAGUUGUGAAAUCUCCGAGCUUAACUCGGAACGGUCAACUGAUACUGUCACACUAGAGUACAGAAGGGGCAAUCGGAAUUCUUGGUGUAGCGGUGAAAUGCGUAGAUAUCAAGAGGAACACCUGAGGCGAAGGCGGGUUGCUGGGCUGAUACUGACGCUGAGGCACGAAAGCUAGGGUAGCAAACGGGAUUAGAUACCCGGGUAGUCCCUGAGCGGGCUGGCAAGGCGCAU